UACGAAGGUGGCUAGCGUUGUUCGGAAUCACUGGGCGUAAAGCGCACGCAGGCGGAUCGAUAAGCCGGGGGUGAAAGCCCGGGGCUCAACCUCGGAAUUGCCUUCGAUACUGUCGGUCUCGAGUCCGGGAGAGGUGAGUGGAAUUCCUAGUGUAGAGGUGAAAUUCGUAGAUAUUAGGAAGAACACAAGUGGCGAAGGCGGCUCACUGGCCCGGUACUGACGCUCAGGUGCGAAAGCGUGGGGAGCAAACAGG
rnacentral:rRNA from 1 species